rnacentral:rRNA from 1 species
CCUACGGGAGGCAGCAGUAAGGAAUAUUGGUCAAUGGACGAAAGUCUGAACCAGCCAUGCCGCGUGAAGGAUGAAGGCCCUCUGGGUUGUAAACUUCUUUUAUCUGGGACGAAAAAAGCUCAUUCUUGAGCACUUGACGGUACCAGAGGAAUAAGCACCGGCUAACUCCGUGCCAGCAGCCGCGGUAAUACGGAGGGUGCAAGCGUUAUCCGGAUUCACUGGGUUUAAAGGGUGCGUAGGUGGGUCUGUAAGUCAGUGGUGAAAUCUCCGAGCUUAACUCGGAAACUGCCAUUGAUACUAUAGGUCUUGAAUCAUCUGGAGGUAAGCGGAAUAUGUCAUGUAGCGGUGAAAUGCUUAGAUAUGACAUAGAACACCAAUUGCGAAGGCAGCUUACUACGGGUGUAUUGACACUGAGGCACGAAAAGCGUGGGGAUCAAACAGGAUUAGAUACCCUGGUAGUCCACGCCCUAAACGAUGGAUACUCGACAUCAGCGAUACACUGUUGGUGUCUGAGCGAAAGCAUUAAGUAUCCCACCUGGAAGUACGACCGCAAGUUGAAACUCAAAGGAAUUGACGGNGNGAGAGNGCGAGACGACGACGAGGGGAGAGG